rnacentral:rRNA from 1 species
CCUACGGGUGGCAGCAGUGAGGAAUAUUGGUCAAUGGGCGCUAGCCUGAACCAGCCAAGUAGCGUGAAGGAUGACUGCCCUAUGGGUUGUAAACUUCUUUUAUAUGGGAAUAAAGUGCAGUAUGUAUACUGCUUUGUAUGUACUUUAUGAAUAAGGAUCGGCUAACUCCGUGCCAGCAGCCGCGGUAAUACGGAGGAUCCGAGCGUUAUCCGGAUUUAUUGGGUUUAAAGGGAGCGUAGAUGGGUUGUUAAGUCAGUUGUGAAAGUUUGCGGCUCAACCGUAAAAUUGCAAUUGAUACUGGCAGCCUUGAGUACAGUUGAGGUAGGCGGAAUUCGUGGUGUAGCGGUGAAAUGCUUAGAUAUCACGAAGAACUCCGAUUGCGAAGGCAGCUUACUAAACUGCCACUGACAUUGAUGCUCGAAAGUGUGGGUAUCAAACAGGAUUAGAUACCCCAGUAGUC